GAUGAACGCUGGCGGCGUGCCUAAUACAUGCAAGUCGAGCGAACAGACGAGGAUCUUGCUCCACUGACGUUAGCGGCGGACGGGUGAGUAACACGUGGAUUACCUACCUAUAAGACUGGGAUAACUUCGGGAAACCGGAGCUAAUACCGGAUAAUAUAUUGAACCGCAUGGUUCAAUAGUGAAAGACGGUUUUGCUGUCACUUAUACAUGGCUCCGCGCCGCAUUAGCUAGUUGGUAAGGUAACGGCUUACCAAGGCAACGAUGCGUAGCCGACCUGAGAGGGUGAACGGCCACACUGGGACUGGAACGCGGUCCAGACUCCUACGGGAGGCAGCGGUAGGGAAUCUUCCGCAAUGGGCGGAAGCCUGACGGAGCAACGCCGCGUGAGUGAUGAAGGUCUGCGGGUCGUAUGACUCUGUUAUUAGGGAAAAACAAAUGUGUAAGUGACUAUGCACGUCUUGACGGUACCUAAACAGAAAGCCACGGCUAACUACGUG
rnacentral:rRNA from 1 species